CAGUAGCCGCGGGAAAACGUUGGGUGCGAGCGUUAAUCGGAAUUACUGGGCGUAAAGCGUGCGCAGGCGGUUGUGUAAGACAGGUGUGAAAUCCCCGGGCUUAACCUGGGAACUGCGCUUGUGACUGCACAGCUAGAGUAUGGCAGAGGGGGGUGGAAUUCCACGUGUAGCAGUGAAAUGCGUAGAGAUGUGGAGGAACACCGAUGGCGAAGGCAGCCCCCUGGGCCAAUACUGACGCUCAUGCACGAAAGCGUGGGGAGCAAACAGGAUUAGAUACCCGCGUAGUCCCUGUCUCUUAUAC
rnacentral:rRNA from 1 species